AUGGGAGUAGGCAAGAAGGAGUAGGCCGUGAUGGGCGAGAGGAAUAUCCAGUUGGCCAGAAAAGCAUGGCAGGGUUGUCAUCUGAUUUCUUGGAGCCUGGUGGAGAUAGAUGCAAACAUACCGGCAGGACAUUCCUCUGCAUCUAGAUUGAGGCUUGCUACCAGCAGGAACAUGGAGCACUCUGUGUCAGUGCUACAGAGACAGAAUGGUCCAAGGACCUCCAGAGCCUUCUGACCAACUAACUGCGAUCUCUCCAGAGCACAGAGAAGUGAGUCUGCUGGGCUAUGGAACUUUAGAGCAGCACGUCAAAAGAACUACCACCCUGUUGUCAGCUAUCUGCAGACAGUUCCCUGUGGAAGGAUGCAACUACAGUAUCAAGGCUUUCAAAGGAUACA